GGCCCGUUGGUCAAGCGGUUAAGACUCCGCCCUCUCACGGCGGCAACAGGGGUUCGAAUCCCCUACGGGUCACCA
rnacentral:tRNA from 2 species